rfam:Desulfovibrio vulgaris str. 'Miyazaki F', complete genome.
UCCCCGGUGGCUCAAUCGGCAGAGCGGGUGACUGUUAAUCACUAGGUUGGCGGUUCAAGUCCGUCCCGGGGAG